AACGAACGCUGGCGGCAUGCCUAACACAUGCAAGUCGAACGAGACCUUCGGGUCUAGUGGCGCACGGGUGCGUAACGCGUGGGAACCUGCCCUUAGGUUCGGAAUAACUCCCCGAAAGGGGUGCUAAUACCGGAUAAUGUCUUCGGACCAAGAUUUAUCGCCUUUGGAUGGGCCCGCGUUGGAUUAGCUAGUUGGUAGGGUAAAAGCCUACCAAGGCGACGAUCCAUAGCUGGUCUGAGAGGAUGAUCAGCCACACUGGGACUGAGACACGGCCCAGACUCCUACGGGAGGCAGCAGUGGGGAAUAUUGCACAAUGGGCGAAAGCCUGAUCCAGCAAUGCCGCGUGAGUGAUGAAGGACUUAGGGAUGUAAAGCUCUUUUAGCCGGGAUGAUAAUGACAGUACCGGGAGAAUAAGCUCCGGCUAACUACGUG
rnacentral:rRNA from 1 species